rnacentral:rRNA from 1 species
UACGAAGGGGGCUAGCGUUGUUCGGAAUUACUGGGCGUAAAGCGCACGUAGGCGGGUCGUUAAGUCAGGGGUGAAAUCCCGGAGCUCAACUCCGGAACUGCCUUUGAUACUGGCGAUCUAGAGAUCGGAAGAGGUUAGUGGAAUUCCCAGUGUAGAGGUGAAAUUCGUAGAUAUUGGGAAGAACACCAGUGGCGAAGGCGGCUAACUGGUCCGAUACUGACGCUGAGGUGCGAAAGCGUGGGGAGCAAACAGG